rnacentral:lncRNA from 1 species
UACAGUGAAACCUGGGUAAACCGAACCCUGAUAAAACCGAAUUGCAGUUUAAACCGAACAAUUUUCAAAGUCCCACAAAAUUUCCCUAUCAAUUAACGUUAAUCUAACCUGAAAAAAACCGAACCCUGUCAACACCGAAUUCCGAACGCUUUUUGAAGGCUCGUUAGUAAAUUAUUAUCUAAAAAUUACCUGUCAAAAUCGAUCAAUACCAAUCAAAACAAUAAAAUAUUAUUAAUUAUUUGCAUGAUUUAAUUAAACAAACACAGGAUGGCAGAGUAUCCCCGAAGGUAUUUGAGGUUUAAUGAACUUGUGAAUUGUUAUUACAAACUAAUUAGCAUGUCUGUGUCCAUGUAUAAAGUGAUUUUUUGUACAGAAACGUUAAACUGGUCAGCUACCCCCAUCGCCGAUAAUGACGAGAAAAGAACUUUCCCUCAUAUCAAUUAAAUGCACCUUACUCAAAUAAUUACGGCCACAAAAUCGAAACUGCCAUUCUGUAGCUAAACUGUUUAUUUAAAUAAUAGUUUUAAAGCCUUUCACCGGAUUAAGAAGUCGUGCAACACAACAGGGUCAAUGGAUUUCGAUUGCUGGAUUCCCUUUAUAGGCCCUAUAUAUUUGAUUCGAAUGCCCCCG